rnacentral:rRNA from 1 species
GGGCAACCCAGCUAAUUGUGAGAUUAGUUACCUGUUUUAGAACAGGGGCGAACCUAGGGAAGUGAACCAUCUAAGUACCUAGAGGAAAAGAAAUCAAUAGAGAUUCUGCAAGUAGUGGCGAGCGAAAGUGGAGAAGCCAACAUGAGAUAGUUAAAUAAUUAGGAGAACGACUUGGGAAAGUCGACCGUAGUGGGUGAGAGUCCCGUAUCUGAAGAUUAU